CCUACGGGAGGCUGCAGUGGGGGAUAUUGGACAAUGGGGGAAACCCUGAUCCAGCGACGCCGCGUGAGUGAAGAAGUAUUUCGGUAUGUAAAGCUCUAUCAGCAGGGAAGAAAGAAAUGACGGUACCUGAGUAAGAAGCCCCGGCUAACUACGUGCCAGCAGCCGCGGUAAUACGUAGGGGGCAAGCGUUAUCCGGAAUUACUGGGUGUAAAGGGUGCGUAGGUGGUUUAGUAAGUUGGCGGUGUAAUUCCGGGGCUCAACCUCGGCGCUACCGCCAAAACUAUUAGACUAGAGUGCAGGAGGGGUAAGUGGAAUUCCUAGUGUAGCGGUGGAAUGCGUAGAUAUUAGGAGGAACAUCAGGGGCGAAGGCGACUUACUGGACUGUAACUGACACUGAGGCACGAAAGCGUGGGGAGCAAACAGGAUUAGAUACCCCAGUAGUC
rnacentral:rRNA from 1 species